rnacentral:tRNA from 1 species
GGAAGGGUGGCAGAGUCUGGCUGAUUGCACUGGUCUCGAAAACCAGAGUGCCCUUCUAGGGUACCGGGGGUUCAAAUCCCUCCCCUUCCGCCU